rnacentral:lncRNA from 1 species
CUUCUCCACUGACCCGAAACCCUCCUCAGAACUGAAAGACACACACAAGCACAAAGAAUUGAAUGAAACUCUGGGACACAAGAAGGAAAAUUCGUCUUUUCAUCAUUGACCUUCAGAAAGGUUUCUUGAGAGACUAAACAUACAAAUGGACAAUGGCCAGACCAUGUGUAACAAUAAAACUCCGAUGGACAAUCUCUGGCAGCCAGCCCAGAACGAUCAGGACUUGUUCAAUGACUGCGAGCUAGCUUCCCCCUUUUUUAACCCUCUUACCUGCUUCCAACUCAAGACUAACAACAGAAUGCCAAAGACACUGCUCCCCAAAGCAAUUACGUAAGAUGCCUCACUGCUUGUUAGUGCACCUCCUGCUUCAAUGUGCCAACAACCUCCAAUCAGAAGAUAGCAGAAGCCUUCUUUUCCCCGCUUAUAAAGCUUUUUUACUCCCCUGCCUGUCUUUGAGACUUUGCUAAAUUCCAAGGAUGGUGGCUGAUCCUCUUGCUUUAUCAUGCUCUGAAUAAAUUGCUUGUUUGUUCUCA